rnacentral:rRNA from 1 species
CCUACGGGAGGCAGCAGUGGGGAAUAUUGCACAAUGGGGGAAACCCUGAUGCAGCGACGCCGCGUGAGUGAAGAAGUAUUUCGGUAUGUAAAGCUCUAUCAGUAGGGAAGAAAAUGACGGUACCUGUUUAAGAAGCCCCGGCUAACUACGUGCCAGCAGCCGCGGUAAUACGUAGGGGGCAAGCGUUAUCCGGAUUUACUGGGUGUAAAGGGAGCGUAGACGGCAGCACAAGUCUGGAGUGAAAUGCCGGGGCUUAACCCCGGAACUGCUUCGGAAACUGUGCAGCUAGAGUGCAGGAGAGGUAAGUGGAAUUGCUAGUGUAGCGGUGAAAUGCGUAGAGAUUAGGAGGAACACCAGUGGCGAAGGCGGCUUACUGGACUGUAACUGACGUUGAGGCUCGAAAGCGUGGGGAGCAAACAGGAUUAGAUACCCCGGUAGUC